rnacentral:rRNA from 1 species
AUGUGCAUUCCAAAGAAGAUGGGAGGCAUGGGGUUUCGGGACCUGCAGUCUUUUAACAUGGCCGUGUUGUGUAAACAAACUUGGAGGCUCCUGAAUAACCGGGACUCACUAUGUGCUCAAGUAUUGAGGGCUAAAUAUUUCGCCGAUGGAAACUUGUUGAAAGCUGACCUAAGAAGGGCUCUUCUUCUUACAUGGCAAAUUAUCUUUGCAGGUUUGCAAACUUUUAGGCAUGGCCACAUUUCUUAUAUAUAG